rnacentral:rRNA from 1 species
AGCAGCCGCGGUAAUUCCAGCUCCAAUAGCGUAUAUUAAAGUUGUUGCAGUUAAAAAGCUCGUAGUUGAAUUUCGGGGUCAGCGGGUUGGUCGUGCCGCUGGUAUGUACUGGCUUUGCUGGUUCCUCCUUCUUGUAGAACCGUAAUGCCAUUAAUUUGGUGUUGCGGGGAAACAGGACUGUUACUUUGAAAAAAUUAGAGUGUUUAAAGCAGGCUAUCGCUUGAAUACAUUAGCAUGGAAUAAUGAAAUAGGACGUUUGAUCCUAUUUUGUUGGUUUCUAGGAUUGACGUAAUGAUUAAUAGGGAUAGUUGGGGGCAUUAGUAUUCAAUUGUCAGAGGUGAAAUUCUUGGAUUUAUUGAAGACUAACUACUGCGAAAGCAUUUGCCAAGGAUGUUUUCAUUAAUCAAGAACGAAAGUUAGGGGAUCGAAGACGAUCAGAUACCGUCGUAGUCUUAACCAUAAACUAUGCCGACUAGGGAUCGGAUGAUGUUAAUUUUAUAAUGACUCA